UGAGCAAUCUGCCCUUCUCAUCGGAAUAAGCGUUGGAAACGACGUCUAAUGCCGAAUACGACCUCCUUUCGCAUGAUCGGAGGUGGAAAGCUCCGGCGGAGAAGGAUGAGCUCGCGGCCUAUCAGCUAGUUGGUGUGGGUAACGGACCCACCAAGGCAACGAUGCGUAGCCGACCUGAGAGGGUNAUCGGCCACAUUGGAACUGAGACACGGUCCAGACCUCACGGGAGG
rnacentral:rRNA from 1 species